GACGUAGGUGGCGAACGUUUAUCCGGAAUUAUUGGGCGUAAAGGAUGCGUAGAUGGUGUAGUAAGUUAUCGGUGGCAAAUCGAGGCUCAACCUCGUGGAAGUCGGUAAUACUGCUAUGCUAGAGGAUAGGAGAGGUUAACGGAACUCCCUGUGGAGCGGUGAAAUGCGUAGAUAUAGGGAAGAACACCAAUCAGGCGAAAGGCAGUUAACUAUUCUAUUCCUGACAUUGAGGCAUGAAAGCGUGGGGAGCAAAACGG
rnacentral:rRNA from 1 species